GCCAACAGUACUUAGCUGAUCUUGGUUGAUCUCAAAAAAACAAGCUAGGCCAGAUCUGAUUAUAGUAUUUCGAUGGGAGUCCACAAGGAAAUCUCAGGGCUGUAGGCU
rnacentral:rRNA from 1 species